rnacentral:rRNA from 1 species
GACGAAGGGGGGCUAGCGUUAUUCGGAAUUACUGGGCGUAAAGCGCGUGUAGGCGGUUGUUCAAGUCAGGUGUGAAAGCCUUGAGCUCAACUCAAGAAAUGCACUUGAUACUGGAUGACUAGAGGACCGGAGAGGAUAGUGGAAUUCCCAGUGUAGUGGUGAAAUACGUAGAGAUUGGGGAAGAACACCAGUGGCGAAAGGCGGCUAUCUGGGACGGUUUUCU